UCUACGGGAGGCAGCAGUGAGGAAUCUUGGUCAAUGGACGAGAGUCUUAACCAGCCAAGUAGCGUGAAGGAUGACUGCCCUAUGGGUUGUAAACUUCUUUUAUAUGGGAAUAAAAUGUUCCACGUGUGGGCUUUUGUAUGUACCAUAUGAAUAAGGAUCGGCUAACUCCGUGCCAGCAGCCGCGGUAAUACGGAGGAUCCGAGCGUUAUCCGGAUUUAUUGGGUUUAAAGGAAGCGUAGGUGGAUUGUUAAGUCAGUUGUGAAAGUUUGCGGCUCAACCGUAAAAUUGCAGUUGAAACUGGCAGUCUUGAGUACAGGAGAGGUGGGCGGAAUUCGUGGUGUAGCGGUGAAAUGCUGAGAUAUCACGAAGAACUCCGAUUGCGAAGGCAGCUCACUGGACUGCAACUGACACUGAGGCUCGAAAGUGUGGGUAUCAAACAGGAUUAGAUACCCUUGUAGUC
rnacentral:rRNA from 1 species